rnacentral:rRNA from 1 species
AGCGAACGCUGGCGGCAGGCCUAACACAUGCAAGUCGAACGAACCCUUCGGGGUUAGUGGCGGACGGGUGAGUAACACGUGGGAACGUACCUUAGGUUCGGAACAACACAGGGAAACUUGUGCUAAUGCCGAAUGUGCCCUUCGGGGGAAAGAUUUAUCGCCUUUAGAGCGGCCCGCGUCUGAUUAGCUUGUUGGUGAGGUAAAGGCUCACCAAGGCUACGAUCAGUAGCUGGUCUGAGAGGAUGAUCAGCCACACUGGGACUGAGACACGGCCCAGACUCCUACGGGAGGCAGCAGUGGGGAAUCUUGCGCAAUGGGCGAAAGCCUGACGCAGCCAUGCCGCGUGAAUGAUGAAGGUCUUAGGAUUUGUAAAAUUCUUUCACCGGGGAAGAUAAUGACGGUACCCGGAGAAGAAGCCCCGGCUAACUUCGUGCCAGCAGCCGCGGUAAU